GUCAGAAUGGCUUUGCUGAGGUGGGACGGGGGCCGCCCAAGGAAAAAAAAGGGUCAGCUAUGAUGUGUGGGGGCCCAUUCCAGCUCAACCCCAGUAAGGCCAGUGGUUGGGGCAAGGUCUUGACCCUUGCUGGGUCCUUGGAAGCGGCACUUGUGUGGCCCUGGUAAGGCUGUCAGGGGCCUCUAGUGAUGAAGAAGGCCCUGGAGGACGGAAACGCCAUGGUCCAGCCAUCUUCCACUCAGGAUUUAUAUUCCUCCAGAAAAUGAAGCACCAGCAGCAGAGCCGAACACCAAGUCCAGUUCAGAACCUUCCACAGGGCAGCUCCAAUGGCAUGGCUUUACCUAACGAGGCAGCGAGACAGUCCUAAAGCACCUACGAGGCUGGGCCAGGGAACUGCUGACUCUUCUAGUGGGUCCCCUGCUCAGGCAUUCAAUGAACACCAGCUGGGCAUGUGUCACUGUUGGCCAAGACAGACACGGUCCUCAUCCUAGUAGAGACGGCAGACCCUCUUCAGUGCCACAUAGCUGCCCGACUUCAUGCUCCAAGAAGCACAACAGAGGAGAAGCCCAGGCAGCACAAGAAGGGUUC